AGCCGAAGUGAGUGAUACCCUGCUUCCAGGAAAAGCCACUAAGCUUCAGCUACACACGACCGUACCGCAAACCGACACUGGUGCGCGAGAUGAGUAUUCUAAGGCGCUUGAGAGAACUCAGGAGAAGGAACUCGGCAAAUUGACACCGUAACUUCGGAAGAAGGUGUGCCUUUAGUAGGUGAAGGGAUUUACUCCUGGAGCCCAAUGAGGUUGCAAAAAAUCGGUGGCUGCGACUGUUUAUUAAAAACACACCACUCUGCAAACACGAAAGUGGACGUAUAGGGUGUGACGCCUGCCCGGUGCUGGAAGAUUAAAUGAUGGGGUGCAAGCUCUUGAUUGAAGUCCCAGUAAACGGCGGCCGUAACAAUAACGGUCCUAAGGUAGCGAAAUUCCUUGUCGGGUAAGUUCCGACCUGCACGAAUGGCGUAACGAUGGCCACACUGUCUCCUCCUGAGACUCAGCGAAGUUGAAAUGUUUGUGAUGAUGCAAUCUCCCCGCGGAAAGACGGAAAGACCCCAUGAACCUUUACUGUAGCUUUGUAUUGGACUUUGAACAGAUCUGUGUAGGAUAGGUGGGAGGCUUUGAAGUAGGGUCGCUAGAUCUUAUGGAGCCAACGUUGAAAUACCACCCUGGUGUGUUUGAGGUUCUAACCUAGGUCCAUUAUCUGGAUCGGGGACAGUGCAUGGUAGGCAGUUUGACUGGGGCGGUCUCCUCCCAAAGCGUAACGGAGGAGUUCGAAGGUACGCUAGUUACGGUCGGACAUCGUGACGAUAGUGCAAUGGCAUAAGCGUGCUUAACUGCGAGACUGACAAGUCGAGCAGAUGCGAAAGCAGGACAUAGUGAUCCGGUGGUUCUGUAUGGAAGGGCCAUCGCUCAACGGAUAAAAGGUACUCUGGGGAUAACAGGCUGAUACCGCCCAAGAGUUCAUAUCGACGGCGGUGUUUGGCACCUCGAUGUCGGCUCAUCUCAUCCUGGGGCUGUAGCCGGUCCCAAGGGUAUGGCUGUUCGCCAUUUAAAGAGGUACGUGAGCUGGGUUUAAAACGUCGUGAGACAGUUUGGUCCCUAUCUUCCGUGGGCGCUGCAGAUUUGAGGAAGCCUGCUCCUAGUACGAGAGGACCGGAGUGGACACACCUCUGGUGUAUCGGUUGUCACGCCAGUGGCAUUGCCGAGUAGCUAAGUGUGGAAGAGAUAACCGCUGAAAGCAUCUAAGCGGGAAACUCGUUUCAAGAUGAGAUCUGCCGGGGCCUUGAGCCCCCUAAAGAGUCGUUCAAGACCAGGACGUUGAUAGGUCAGGUGUGGAAGCGCAGUAAUGCGUUAAGCUAACUGAUACUAAUUGCUCGUGCGGCUUGACCAG
rnacentral:rRNA from 1 species